GUCUUGAAUUAAUAGCAGCUAAUGAGUCCCCUAUUAAAACAUUUGGUAUAAAAACUCUUACCUUAACUCUUGGCCUCAACCGAAAAUUUACCUGGAAUUUUAUAGUUGCCAGUGUUAACAGACCAAUAAUUGGCGCUGAUUUUCUUAGCCAUUUUGCGUUAGUGGUUGAUGUAAAGAACAAUCGUCUGAUAGAUAAUACGUCCAGAUCAGAAAGUAAAGCAACGUUAUUUUCUGGAUCUUUAAAUUCUGUAAAAUCAAUUUCAAAAAACUCAGAAUUUUGUAAGCUUUUUCUACAAUUUCCUGAACUGACGCAAAGUGACAAUCGUAUUUCACCAGUAAAGCAUUCUGUGAAGCAUAUUAUCCACACAGAAGGUCCACCGGUUCAUGCAAAAGCACGAAGAUUUUCCCUGAGAAGCUCAAAAUUGUAAAGCGUGAGUUUGAUUUGAUGCUGCAACAAGGUAUAUGUCGUCUUUCGAAAAGUUCCUGGGCAAGUCCGUUGCAUUUAAUCCCGAAGUCAAAUGGAGAGUGGCGUCCAUGUGGCGACUACCGUCGUUUAAAUGCUGUUACUACUCCCGACCGCUAUCCUGUUCUUCACAUACACGAUUUUGGACACAUGUUGAGCGGUAAGCAAAUAUUUAGUAAAGUGGACCUUGUUAAAGCAUAUCGUCAAAUACCAGUUGAAGAAUCUGACAUUCCUAAGACUGCAAUUAUAACUCCAUUUGGGUUAUAUGAGUUUCCUCGAAUGAGCUUUGGACUUUGUAAUGCAGCUCAGUCUUUUCAGCGUUUUAUACACGAGAUCAUACAAGGUUUGGAUUUCUGUUACGCCUAUAUAGAUGAUAUCCUCAUUGCGUCAAACAACAAAGAGGAGCACUUGGAACAUCUCAGGAAAUUAUUUUGAAGAUUUCGAGAGUUUGGUGUUACUAUUAAUUAUUCCAAGUCGAUGCUCGGAGUUGCAGAAGUCGAAUUUUUAGGAUAUGUAGUCAAUGCAGAUGGUAUCAAACCUCUGCCAUCCCGCGUAGAAGCAAUCAAAGGCUACAAGUUGCCAGAAACUGAAAAAGAGCUGCGAAGGUUUUUAGGAAUGUUAAAUUUUUAUAGAGGAUUUAUUCCUAAUGCAGCACAUCAACAGUAAAAACUUCAUGCAAUCUGCUCUGGAAAUAAAAAGGGAACGAACGCAAAGAUCCAAUGGACAGAGGACUUACUUGAAGCUUUCAAGGAAUGCAAGAACUCAUUAGCUGAUGCAGCUCUACUUGUUCAUCCAAAACUCAAUGCUCCGACAUCUUUGUGGAUUGAUGCAUCGGAUACAGGAAUGGGUGGAGUUUUACAACAAUUUAUUAGCGGUGAGUGGAAACUCAUAGCAUUUUUCUCAAAGAAAUUGAGCUCGUCUCAAAUGAAAUAUAGUGCAUAUGACAGAGAACUUCUCGCAGCAUACUCAGGACUGAAACACUUCCAAUAUUUUUUGGAAGGAAGAGAGUUCUUUAUUUGCACAGACCACAAACCCCUAAUAUAUGCAUUUAAACAGAAACCGGAAAAGGCAUCCCCACGGCAACUGCGACACCUUGAUUACGUAGGGCAGCAUACUGUCGACAUAAGACAUAUUUCCGGAAAAGAUAACACAGUUGCAGACGCAUUAUCUCGAUUGGAUGCAGUAUCAUUACCAUCACCCUUGGAUUACAACGAAUUGGCUCGUUCGCAAGAGUCCGACACAGAAUUACAACAAUUACUAAAAGUUAACACAUCUCUUGUCUUGAAAAAAAUGGUUGUCCCUGGCUCGAAUGUUGAAGUUUAUUGUGAUGUGUCAACAAAAGCAAUACGACCAUAUAUAACCAAACAUUUUCGCAAGCCUCUUUUUGAAUCACUACAUGGAAUAUCUCAUCCAGGCAUCCGAGCAACAACAAGCAUGAUUAAAACUCGUUUUGUUUGGCCAUCAAUAUCUAAGGAUCUGCAUGUUUGGACCAAAUGUUGUAUAUCCUGUCAAAAGGCAAAGGUUAAUCGCCACGUCAAGAGUCCUCUUGGAAAUUUUGAGUUACCAACGGAACGUUUUAAAAACAUCAGCAUCGAGUUGGUUGGACCGCUACCUCUAUGUCAAAAUUUCAGGUAUGUUCUCACUUGUAUUGACAGAUUUACCAGAUGGACCGAGGCUAUACCGUUGACAGACAUAACAGCAACAGCCGUUGCUUCAGCAUUUCUGUCAGGCUGGGUUUCCCGAUGUGGAGUUCCGUCAUCUAUUACAACCGAUCAGGGAAGACAAUUUGAAUCUGCUCUUUUUCGAGAAAAUUCUUCCUGUAGUUUUGAUGGGUUUGCACUCGGCAAUUAUUCAAGAUGUUGGUUAUUCUUCUGCUGAAAUGGUUUUUGGUACCAACAUCAGACUUCCAGGUGAGAUAUUUGAUAACGUCAACUCCAAAUAUUCAGACAAUUGGAUCGAUGAAUUUCAUAAUAAUAUGCAAAAUAUAAGACCAACUCCUGGAAUAAGACAUGGGAAGCAUACAAUUUUUGUACCCAUGGAUCUACUGAAAUGCUCACAUGUUUUUGUAAGAAAUGAUGCAGUUCGAAAACCUCUACAACCUCCCUACGAAGGCCCAUUUCAAGUAAUUUCGCGGAAUAGUAAGAUAUUCAAAUUUAGACGAGGCCACGAUGAAAAGGUUAUAUCCAUCGACCGGCUCAAACCCGCCUAUCUUUUAAAUUAAUCAGAGCCAAUUCAAGUUCCGGAUACUUCAAGCAAUACACAAGGAAAGUCAACAAUGAAAUUACGAUCCGGAAAGAAAGUAUCAUUUGCUCCUGGUGUAUAAAUUUCGUUUUCACUAGGGAGGGGGUACUGUGGUGUAUCCACAUUUAUUAUUCUAAAUCGUUUAAAUUAUUUAUUUUUAACAAAGUAGGUUAAGUUUUCAUUUUCUUUGGUAGUUUAUAUAACACUUUUGAGUUUUUAAAAAUAUGUUAGAUUGAGUAGGCAUUGGAUUGUCAUUUUUUUUCUUUUCAUUGUACAGAAAAAAUUGAUUCAUUCGAAAAAAUAUAAGUGACGUGUCAGGAAGCAAAAUUUAAAAUAUUCAUAAAUUUGUUAAUUGUUUGCGUUUUAUUUCGUUUUGCCCCUUAACCACGUCAUGGUUAAACAUGAACAAACUAAAACUUGGUGACUAUUAGGGAAGGGGCCAAAUUUUGAUAUCAAAUUCAUAUUCUUACUCAAACACCUUCCAAUCGAGUCUCAUAUCUUGCCGACCGGUCUACUUUCUGUUUGAUUGGCUUUUGGAUGACCCUCCUGAGACGUUUCGGCAAAUUUUUAUACCAGAUUUGGAUCCCCUCAUAGGAUUUUCGCCGUCCUACCGGCAGUCCUCUGGCCUCAAUAAACUUGGUUAACCCGAAGCCUUUCGGGUCGACGGAGUCCGAGUUAAGGGAGUGGGCGACGAAUGCGCAUGCAACAUUGUGGAACAUAUUAACAAAUUUAAUAAAAUCACAAUUACGAACUCCUAGAAACAUUUGUUUAUGAUUAAAAUUACUUUUUGUUGUUGAUAUUUUAA